AUAUAAUUUUUACUAGUGGAUUAC
rnacentral:snRNA from 1 species